AUUGAACGCUGGCGGCAGGCUUAACACAUGCAAGUCGAACGGAGUGGCGAACGGGUGAGUAACGCGUAAUCAACCUGCCCUUCAGAGGGGGAUACCAGUUGGAAACGACUGCUAAUACCGCAUACUGAAGGAGGGGAUUUCGUCUGAUUAGCUAGUUGGAGGGGUAACGGCCCACCAAGGCGAUGAUCAGUAGCCGGUCGUAGAGGAUGAACGGCCACAUUGGGACUGAGACACGGCCCAGACUCCUACGGGAGGCAGCAGUGGGGAAUAUUGGACAAUGGGCGAAAGCCUGAUCCAGCCAUGCCGCGUGUGUGAAGAAGGUCUUCGGAUUGUAAAGCACUUUCAGUUGGGAGGCGUUACCAACAGAAUAAGCACCGGCUAACUUCGUGCCAGCAGCCGCGGUAAUUC
rnacentral:rRNA from 1 species